UCAGUCUUCACGCUGCCCCUCUUUCGUUUCUCUUUGGCUUAAACACAGAGCAUCCCUGUUCUUGCUCUCCCUGUUCUCGCUCUCUUCAGUAUUCACGCUGCCCCUCACUCGCUCUCUCUGUAUACCUGUUCUUGCUCUCCCUGUUCUCGCCCUCUUCAGUAUUCACGCUGCCCCUCACUCGCUCUCUCUGUAUACUUCUGUCAGGUUUUUUGAUAAGCCUCUUUGCCUUUGCCUCUCUCAAUUAUCAAAACCCUUAAAGUCUGAAACCAACCAUUCUCUCUGCCUUUCUAAGCCGUUCUCUCUAUAUCCCUGAUAGUCCACCAUAACCAUCUCUCCCACCCAUGACUGAGCCGUUACCCAUCAUAGCCAUCGCAAAAUCUCCAAUGUUGUAGACCCAGUUACGCAAAGAUGCUCUUAAUAUCAUGUAAUGCAGCUGGAGCUGAAUUUGAAUAUGAGGGGACGUGCCUAGGAACCGAAAGACGAAUGAUUUUGUUGAUGAUAAUUCAAGAAUCUCAUUCAGACAGUUGAUACUUAUAUUAGAUGAAUUCCAUAAGUUCUGCAUCUUGAAGAUCAAGUAAAGAAUACCUUAAGAGAAGAUUUCUCAAAGAGAACUCCAAUGAGAGUCUUCUUUCUGUAACAAAUCCUGCAUAUUCGUGUUAGGUCCUACUCUCAUCUUGUGCCCAAAUCUGUGUUUGAAGCUAUGACUUAUGAGCUUUUGGAAUGUUGGUAAUAAUGUUUUCAUUGCCAUAAAGCAAACAAGGUGUGGCCUUUAUGUGUUAUGUGGAAUAUCCUACAUUUGUAAUCAAAGAACAUGUUUUUUUU